rnacentral:tRNA from 1 species
CGGGAUGUGGCUCAGCCUGGUUAGAGCGCGUGUCUGGGGGACAUGAAGUCGCAGGUUCGAAUCCUGUCAUCCCGACCA